rnacentral:misc_RNA from 1 species
GAUGAAGAACGUAGUGAAAUGCGAUACGUAGUGUGAAUUGCAGAAUUCAGUGAAUCAUCGAAUCUUUGAACGCACAUUGCACCUCUCGGUAUUCCGGGAGGUAUGCCUGUUCGAGCGUCAUUUGUACCCUCAAGCUCUGCUUGGUGUUGGGUGUUUGUUCCGCCUCUGUGUGUGAACUCGCCUCAAAACAAUUGGCAGCCGGCGUACUUGUUUCGGAGCGCAGCACAUUUUGCGAUCCAGAUCAACGUACAGCGGCAUCCAAGAAGCCUUAUUUUUAACGCUCUUGACCUCGGAUCAGGUAGGGAUACCCGCUGAACUUAAGCAUAUCAAUAAGCGGAGGA